UUGAAGUAAUCUUCCGCUUACAAAACAAAGAAGUUCGCGAUAGAAGAUGAAAAACAAAAGCAGUAUAAGAUCAAGUAUAUCUACAGAAGUGAGCAUGAUAAAGUUUCUUAGUGUAUGAAAAGAAAGAAAAAGUAGGUAUAAAAGAAAAUUACAAUAAUUAAAAAAAAAAAAACCUCUUUUAGCUAUGAGCUUAAAGACUCCAUCUCAGAAGAAUUCUCUGGCAUUAGUAGUUCUAGUACUCCUCGUUUAUGAUGAAGAAGAUGAUGAUUCAAGAGGCUCAGGUCCCAACCGAAGCUCAAGGUCCAGUUCUAAUCGGGUCGAUUCACGAAUCAAUUGCCGCGGCUUCUUAUCCUCUUCUCCAUCAACACGAUUAAUUAUCUUUGUCUCCUCUUUGUUAGUAUGAGUAGUUCUAGCAUCAUCCCUUGUAGAUAAAGUAUAUGGUGUCUUAGGGAUACAGCUUCCUUCUUCACUAUAUUCUAAUGGAAGAUUUUUAUAUUCAGAAACCUGAUGAUUAUGAGGAUCAUCAGCUGGAUUCAUCGAGUUUAAAGAAAGCAAGUUUUCAU
rnacentral:lncRNA from 1 species